GCAAACGUGGGGUAGUGGUAACCUGAGUCGUUGCCACUCAUGGACAAUUUGCCAGGGAUACAGCGGUAAGUUCAAUAUUAAACACGUCGACCCGCUCUGAGUUCGAUUCUCGGCGUUUGCA